GGGGACCAGGAUUGGGGUACCACCCCCACCCACCGGUGAUCCUGAGCAGGGAACCUGUCACACUGCCAGCCGAGGGGGGUGAGGGACAGGUUUCUCAAUGCAUUAAGAAGACUUUUCUUGUUAAAAGGAAUAAAAUAAACCAACAUGCACUGACAUAGACAGAUGUCUAAAAUACACAGAGAAAAUACCCACAAGAAUAUGAGCCAGACCGUCGACCGUGUUAUGCUGGGGGCUGGGAGGCAGGAGGAAGGAAGCACUGGGCUCCAGCAGAACAGAACUUGACUUCCGAAGUCAUCAUUUCUGGAAUGUAAUAUGUAAUAAAUUCAUUUUUUUGUAACCAGGAGAAAAUUAGGACAGUGCUUGUUUGUGUUUAAAGACUAAGGGGAUCUUCUAAAAUAUGGCUUUUUCCGGAGAGUAGCAUCAAGCGAAACUUCAGGCUGCUGCUCAGCCCCUCUGAGCCUUAGGGCCCCACUUGUGAGUUCUCCCCGUUACCCCCUUUCCGAGCCCUCCUUAGAAACUGCAGACUUGCUACCUGCCCCUGGAAUCACAGGGAAUGUAGGUCAGGUAAUUAGUAACCAGAGUUUAUUUACUUUGGAAAACAGUGCACUCAGGCAAAAUAGGCCAGUUCCCAUUGCGCAGGGCAGAAUCCCAGAGCUUUUGAGAGGGAGGGAAUGAAUGCAAGCCCCUUGUUGUACCCUGAGGCCCAGAACUAGGUCAGCAGCUAGCGAAGAGCAGGGCUGGGAUUCAAGGCAGUUCUGGGGCAUCCUCCUGCCACAGGACUGUGCCCCUGUCAACUACGGACUAAGACCCUUCCUGGGAUCGCAGCCUGGAUUCCUGAGAGUUUGCAGUAAUGGCCCACCCACGCCCCGCUUCACCUGGGCUGGGACACCAGAGACCGUGAGGGGUGACGGGGGGGCGUGAUGGGGGUAUGUGUCACCCAAACAGCUCAGAGAUGCACAUGUCACAGAUGCAGCACAAGUCUGAGGGGCUGGCCUACUCCUGUUGCAAACUCACACCAUCUCUGUUAAUGCUGUAGUCCUGACAAUUUCUUAGGUAGCUUACAGCUCCGUGAAUGUGGAGUUUUACAACCAGGCUAUUCUCUGGACCAAACUGAAUGUGAUUUGAUUCCUGGACCCCAGAAUGGUUCUGGCCAGUGAGAAAAUCUGUGCAGACAAGUGGGAGCAUCUUCCAGAAAUCACCAUGGGUGAUCACCCAUAAGUGUCAGGUGAGCUAGAAAAGUCACCCAGAGACUCAGGAUAAGGUAUUUGCCCCCCAGGCUCACCAGAGGCCUGGAGUCUGUGUAGAAAAGCAGCCCAGCUGGUGACCAGCCCGGAGACACUGCCAGGCUGUGUCUCAGCGGACCCUUUGCUGGCGUGAGUGUGGCCACCACACUCUCCCCCAGCCAGGACAAGGCAUCGGCAGAGGACGGUGGGGACACACGGCACUGGUGAGUGUCACAGGUUGCUUCUGUGUGUGACUCCCAGAGGCCAGAGAAACACAGGCUUUCACCACCUGUGACCAAAGCCCAGCCCCACAAAGUCAGUAAGCGCCAUCUCCAAGGAACUCAAGCGCUAGUGACAAGCCACAGGGAUCCAGCCGCCUCACUGCUCCAUUCUCUCCCAGGCUGGAAGCACGUGCUUUGUUCUCGAGGGGUGACGUGAAUAGGAAGGUGAGCACCUGUUCAGAGUCAGCCUCCUUUCACCACCAGAGCAUCUCCUCCAGAGCUGUCUGGAGUUCUCAGCAGCCCCCCUUUCUAAGGACACAAUGACAGGGAACCAAUCGACUGUUCUCUGCACCAGAGCCCUGGUCUACCUGUUCCACCCAAGAGCAGAGAGCAGUUCUUGAUAAAGAAGCUCCCCGCCCUCCGCUGGCUUAUAAAUGUGUGAUAAAUGGGGAGACACCCCGCAGGUCUUCCACCUAGAGUCUUGUUUGAAACAGCAGGAGUUGGAGUAUUGGGAGGAUGCAAGAGAAGACCCGAGACUCCAGGAAGGACUGUUUCCCAGUGGAGGAUGUUGUUCCUUCUGAGCUUCUAUAACACAUGCUGGGAGGCUAUGGUGAAGUCAUUUUUGCACCACUGAAGGUUGAUUUGCCGACGUCCUGCUCUUUCUUGCCUCUCUUCCUGUGGCCAAAAUUGCAGGGAGGAUGGAGCCCACAGAAUCAGGGACCCUCUAAGCUGGCUCAGAGACUCAGAGCCAGCCAGGAGAGAACAGUCACAUCCUUGGGGACUUUUUAAGCAAGAUUGCAAAAAGAGACAGAUGAUCUUAUGGCAAAUAAGGCCUGAAAAGCUCCGGUUGCCUUCUCAAGAGAGUAACUGCUUUUGCUGCAUCAGAUUCUCAGUUGCACUAUCCAGGGUGUGCAAGAAAUCAAGAAAAAGCAGGCAGUCUCCUGGGUCCCAGACCACGGUGGCAGCCUUCCCUCUGCUGUCUGCCCCCAGGAGGGGGACAAAGCAUCACAGCAGUCCCUUCGCUUCUCCAGGCUUGAAGAUUUGACUGUCUAGGGAGUGAAUUAUGGAGGAGCUAGCCUAGGCUGGGGCCCUGGGUAGGUGCAGAGAAAGGUGUAAAGGGAGGCCUGGGGCUGGGCUGGCUCACCUGGGACAGCCCAGUGCCCUGGGCAGAGAGGCCCUGCGCUGAGGGGGCUGCCCUCAAAUGAGGCAUCUAGACGAUGGCUGUGCACCCAUGAUUUCAUUUCCUUUCUGUAGUUUCAAUUUUUGAAUGUAUUGCUGGGAACGCACAAUAGCGAGCGAGCUGGGCGAACUUUCCUUGUGGUCUUGUGCGCGUGUGCCAGUGCAUAACCUGCAGGGGAGGGGAGAGAGGUCAAUGUCACUGCAGCGGCACGGAGGGCACGGCCCGAGGACAGUCCUACCCAGACCGUGUCAGCUAAGCACAGAAGUGGGCAGGAGAGGAUCCGCUUCAUGGUGCGUGAGAGUCCCCGGGCUAUGCCCACCUGGCCUCUUUGCAGAACCUCAGGGUUUCCAAGCCCCAACAAGUAGAAAAAGUCACCCAUCCCAUCCGGCCCCUCCGCACGCGGCUGUGGGAGGAGUGGACAGCCUGUCCCAUCACACACGUGUCGAAGGCCGCUGGGCUCCCCUGGCAGUUUGGCCUUUGCCAAAUGAUUCUUCUCUUUUCAAGAUCUCUUGGAGCCGUGUCAACUUGCAGCAAGGCCUGCAGUUGUGUCAUUCCUGGCCCUAGACAGUUCGCAAGAGGGUUUUGCAGCCCCGGCUCCUCAGUGCUGAUUGGCGGGCGCUGGGCCACGUGGUGAGGAUGGCUGCUGCCUUUCCUGCCGUCCUGGUCCCCUUCCACCUCUGCUGGCUGUGCCGCUGCCUCUGACGAAGCCUCUGCACAGCACUGAGGAUAAACCAUACAGACAGCGGGGUGACAGCGGGGCGAAGCCACAGUCUUUCUGGCAUUUCUGAGAAGACAGUCCAAAGAGCAGAAGUGUGAGCAUGGGGGGGGGGGUGUCUAG